UAGUAUAUUAGUUAACUCAAUACUCCGUAACUCGUAAAAAUACCAGAUAAUCAUCCAUCUCAAGUCCAAGGAGGACACGUAGUACAAACCACAGCACCUUGACUACACAGAAUUAAUUGGAAUGAAUUGAGGGUGAAAAAAAUCCCACUUACUGCAAAUAAGUGGGAUUUUACAUCAAGGA
rnacentral:misc_RNA from 1 species